rnacentral:hammerhead_ribozyme from 1 species
AUUCAACUGACGAGUCUCAAAUAGGACGAAACGUGCCUCCUAGAU